rnacentral:rRNA from 1 species
AACGAACGCUGGCGGCAUGCCUAACACAUGCAAGUCGAACGAGACCUUCGGGUCUAGUGGCGCACGGGUGCGUAACGCGUGGGAAUCUACCCUUGGGUUCGGAAUAACAGUUAGAAAUGACUGCUAAUACCGGAUGAUGACUUCGGUCCAAAGAUUUAUCGCCCAAGGAUGAGCCCGCGUAGGAUUAGCUAGUUGGUAGGGUAAAGGCCUACCAAGGCGACGAUCCUUAGCUGGUCUGAGAGGAUGAUCAGCCACACUGGGACUGAGACACGGCCCAGACUCCUACGGGAGGCAGCAGUGGGGAAUAUUGGACAAUGGGCGAAAGCCUGAUCCAGCAAUGCCGCGUGAGUGAUGAAGGCCCUAGGGUUGUAAAGCUCUUUUACCCGGGAUGAUAAUGACAGUACCGGGAGAAUAAGCCCCGGCUAACUCCGUGCCAGCCGCCGCGGUAAAAC